rnacentral:rRNA from 1 species
GACGAACCGAGCGAACGUUGUUCGGAAUCACUGGGCGUAAAGGGCGCGUAGGUGGCGACCCAAGUCAACGGUGAAAGCUCGGCGCUCAACGCCGAGUCGGCCGUCGAUACUGGGUUGCUCGAGCACUGUAGAGGCAGAUGGAAUUCCGGGUGUAGCGGUGGAAUGCGUAGAGAUCGGGAGGAACACCCGUAGCGAAGGCGGCACUCUGGGCCGGUACUGACGCUGAGGAGCGAAAGCGUGGGGAGCAAACAGG